CCGGAAGUCGCAUGAAAUUCAAACUGCCACACUUGACGACGCGUGAUCUUUGUUUUGUCUUUAUAUAAUACUGUAAGAAGUCAUGUACCACACAUUGUCAAACCUGAAGAAGUGUACCUUCCUGCAAUCUGGGCUCCAGACCUGGAGAUUGAAGUUCCUAAAGGUUGAUGUUUAUCAAGCUUGUGACCUUAUUGCAUGGUGUUAUUUUUUACAUUUAUAUAUCUAAUACACAUUUGCACAUCUGUAAACAUAAAUUUAAUAUUUUGUGGGUUAUUUUUAAUUUUAUUUAACCAGUUGUUGUAUAUUGAAAUCUGUUAUUACAUGUUAUGCACUCCAACUGUAAAUGUUUUGUUUUAAUUGCAUCUUUAUUGUUUUAAACAAUUUAAUUAAUGUGGGUUUUUGUUAGCUUUUAUGUUAUUCUUGUAUUUUUUGGCUAUUUAUUUGUUUUUAUUAUCCUUCUGUUUAUUUGCCAGAUUUUGACCUUCUAUUUGUUUUUCCUGUAAUCUCACUUCAAUUAUUUUCUGUGUUUUUCAAUGAUACAUUUUUGUCACAGUCCCAAUUUGUUCCUGCUUGUUUCUCCAUGUUUCCCCGUUCAUCAUCCAUUUGGACUUCAUUUCCCAUAAUCCUUUUCACUCUCUCACCUGAACUGUGUUUGUUAUUAUCCUCACCUGACAGUCAUCCCCCUCAUCACUCCAUUGUCUAAAUACCCCACUUUUCCGUUUGUCAAGGUCAGUUCUUGUUUAUAGUGAUGUGUUGUGUGUUUUGCUGUACCAGUUUCCAUGUUCCUUGUUUUAUAUUAAUUAAAGAUUAUCAUUUUGG